GUCUACGCCUUUAUAAACCAGCUGUUGAAACCGUAGCGCACAUUUCUCUGGUUACUGUUAUAUAAAGUAAGGUUGUGGUCUACGCCUUUAUAAAACAGCUGUUGAAACCGUAGCGCACAUUUCUCUGGUUACUGUUAUAUAAAGUAAGGGUGUGGUCUACGCCUUUAUAAAACAGCUGUUGAAACUGUAGCGCACAUUUCUCUGGUUACUGUUAUAUAAAGUAAGGGUGUGGUCUACGCCUUUAUAAAACAGCUGUUGAAACCGUAGCGCACAUUUCUCUGGUUACUGUUAUAUAAAGUAAGGGUGUGGUCUACGCCUUUAUAAAACAGCUGUUGAAACUGUAGCGCACAUUUCUCUGGUUACUGUUAUAUAAAGUGAAAGUAAGGGUGUGGUCUACGCCUUUAUAAACCAGCUGUUGAAACCGUAGCGCACAUUUCUCUGGUUACUGUUAUAUAAAGUAAGGGUGUGGUCUACGCCUUUAUAAAACAGCUGUUGAAACUGUAGCGCACAUUUCUCUGGUUACUGUUAUAUAAAGUGAAAGUAAGGGUGUGGUCUACGCCUAUAUAAACCAGCUGUUGAAACCGUAGCGCUCAUUUCUCCGCAACAUUAGAAGUAGGAUAAAUGUGUUGAUUUGAAGGACAGACGGGCAGACUCUGGUAAGUCUUGGCUACAUAUAACUAUUAUAAAGUUAGGUCGUAGUCAGACAUUCAACAGACAGAGUAACCCUGAGAUAUGAUUCUUUAUCAUGC
ensembl:lncRNA